UGAGCUGAAUUGAUGAUCCUUUGUGUUGGC
rnacentral:piRNA from 1 species